rnacentral:rRNA from 1 species
AUUGAACGCUGGCGGCAGGCCUAACACAUGCAAGUCGAGCGGAUGAGGGGUGCUCGCACCCCGAUUCAGCGGCGGACGGGUGAGUAAUGCCUAGGAAUCUGCCCGAUAGUGGGGGACAACGUUUCGAAAGGAACGCUAAUAUCGCAUACGUCCUACGGGAGAAAGUGGGGGCUCUUCGGACCUCACGCUAUCGGAUGAGCCUAGGUCGGAUUAGCUAGUUGGUGGGGUAAAGGCUCACCAAGGCGACGAUCCGUAACUGGUCUGAGAGGAUGAUCAGUCACACUGGAACUGAGACACGGUCCAGACUCCUACGGGAGGCAGCAGUGGGGAAUAUUGGACAAUGGGCGAAAGCCUGAUCCAGCCAUGCCGCGUGUGUAAAGAAGGUCUUCGGAUUGUAAAGCACUUUAAGUCGGGAGGAAGGGCUGCAGGUUAAUACCUUGCAGCCUUGACGUUACCGACAGAAUAAGCACCGGCUAACUUCGUGCCAGCCGCCGCCGUAA